UGUCGUUGGGGAGGACGCCCUUGCUCCGGUAUGGGAGGACCGAGAGGACGAGAAGGCGGACUCCAUGGGCGCGUGCUCCGGUAAGGGAGCCCACCCUUGCUGCACUCGUGGGCAUUGUUGAGAGUGGAAGGGGAUAUAGCUUCAGGUGGGUACGCCGGCCGCGAGCGCCGGCUGCGAGCAUGCGUCGUUGUGACCAUUCGGCCUCUAUCAAUACUCUUCGGAUGCUGUUCUGGACAACCAAACAGCUCAGUUUAGUUGUGGCAAAGUUAGCUUUAAACCAAAACAAGUCCUAACUAGCAUGUAGUGCAUUUUUCUUCACUUUUGGAUUCAGUAUUCUUCUCACGGAAAUACAGAAUACACCAAAUUUAUUGAUUGACUACUCAAGAUUGCGAUAUGUUGUCUGUCAGGGGCUAACAAUCUGGUACCAAUUGAAAUUGCUCUCAAAAUUGCAACUAAAAUUAAGAUGAACAAGAGGUUCUCCGCAUACAUAGUGCUUCCUAUGUGGCCUGAGGGUAAACCAACUAGUCUCAUAGCACAAAGAAUUCUUUACUGGCAGAAAACAAUGCAAAUGAUGUAUGAGAUAAUAUAUAGAGCCCUGAAAGAAGCAGGUUUGGAUGAA